rnacentral:rRNA from 1 species
CCUACGGGUGGCAGCAGUGAGGAAUAUUGGUCAAUGGCCGUAAGGCUGAACCAGCCAAGUCGCGUGAAGGAAGAAGGAUCUAUGGUUUGUAAACUUCUUUUAUCGGGGAAUAAAGGUAUCCACGUGUGGAUAUUUGCAUGUACCCUAUGAAUAAGCCUCGGCUAACUCCGUGCCAGCAGCCGCGGUCAUACGGAGGAUGCGAGCGUUAUCCGGAUUUAUUGGGUUUAAAGGGUGCGUAGGUUGUUUUUUAAGUCAGCGGGGAAAGUUUGUGGCUCAACCAUAAAAUUGCCGUUGAAACUGGAAGACUUGAGUGUGUUUGAGGUAGGCGGAAUGCGUGGUGUAGCGGUGAAAUGCUUAGAUAUCACGAAGAACUCCGAUUGCGAAGGCAGCUUACUAAACUGCCACUGACAUUGAUGCUCGAAAGUGUGGGUAUCAAACAGGAUUAGAUACCCGGGUAGUC